rnacentral:rRNA from 1 species
GUAUACGCCCUACGGGGGAAAAAUUUAUUGCUAUUAGAUGAGCCUAUAUUAGAUUAGUUAGUUGGUGAGGUAAAGGCUUACCAAGACAAUGAUCUAUAGCUGAUCUGAGAGGAUGAUCAGCCACACUGGAACUGAGAUACGGUCCAGACUCCUACGGGAGGCAGCAGUGGGGAAUAUUGGACAAUGGGCGAAAGCCUGAUCCAGCCAUGCCGCAUGAGUGAAGAAGGCCUUCGGGUUGUAAAGCUCUUUUAGUGAGGAAGAUAAUGACGGUACUCACAGAAGAAGUCCUGGCUAACUCCGCGCCAGCAGCCGCGGUAAUACGGAGAGGGCUAGCGUUAUUCGGAAUCAUUGGGCGUAAAGGGCGCGUAGGCGGGUUAGUAAGUUAAAAGUGAAAUCCCAAGGCUCAACCUUGGAACUGCUUUUAAAACUGCUAGUCUAGAGAUUGAGAGAGGAUAGAGGAAUUCCUAGUGUAGAGAUGAAAUUCGUAAAUAUUAGGAGGAACACCAGUGGCGAAGGCGUCUAUCUGGUUCAAAUCUGACGCUGAGGCGCGAAGGCGUGGGGAGCAAACAGGAUUAGAUACCCUGGUAGUCCACGCUGUAAACGAUGAAUGUUAAAUAUGGGAAGUUUACUUUCUGUAUUAUAGCUAACGCGUUAAACAUUCCGCCUGGGGACUACGGUCGCAAGAUUAAAACUCAAAGGAAUUGA